GUCCAUGGGGUCAAAAAGAGUCAGACACAAGUGAGCAACUGAACAACAACAGAAAUGCAGAACCUUGGUCCUUACCCCAGACGGAAUGCUUCAGAAUCUGCUUGUUAACACGAGUCUCUGUAUCUGACGAGCACCGAGCUGACUUCCUCUACUUGCUGGGUACCAGCACAGCUACCUUUAGAGUUUCCAGAAUAUUUUCUAAAAUAUGUGUUUCCUCUGUGUGUAUGUGCUACUGCUCCUUACAACCAUUAUAAAUACGCGGUGAGAAACCGUGAAACCUUCCAGCACAAUUCACCGAAUCCCUCCGAGGAAGGUCUCCACCUAUAUAUCCCAUGGGUCAAGACAGGCUGGAGCAGAAGCCUUGAAAGCAGAUAGGAAACCAGUGCAGUGGCCUUUUGUGAUUGCCGGAAACUGAAGUAAAAUACAGAAAGCUGACAGCCAGAGGGAAUAUUUCUCCCCAGCCUGCAGCCUGGUUGCACUUAAGGAGGUCCUCUCUUUCUUCCCGUCUUCAACAAUAAGGAUCUCUCAACCUGAGGAGCCUCAUGGGAGGAGGCUUAUCAAUACCCGUGUCUGACUCAGAAGAUUAGAUUCUCACUUAGAAGAUUAGAUUCAUAUAUGACUACUGUUAUGAUCUGAGAGUUGGACCAUAAAGAAAGCAGAGGGCCA